AUUGAACGCUGGCGGCAUGCUUUACACAUGCAAGUCGAACGGCAGCGCGGGCUUCGGCCUGCGGCGAGUGGCGAACGGGUGAGUAAUGCAUCGGAACGUGCCCAGUAGUGGGGGAUAGCCCGGCGAAAGCCGGAUUAAUACCGCAUACGACCUGAGGGUGAAAGCGGGGGACCGAAAGGCCUCGCGCUAUUGGAGCGGCCGAUGUCGGAUUAGCUAGUUGGUGGGGUAAAGGCUUACCAAGGCGACGAUCCGUAGCCGGUCUGAGAGGACGACCAGCCACACUGGGACUGAGACACGGCCCAGACUCCUACGGGAGGCAGCAGUGGGGAAUUUUGGACAAUGGGGGCAACCCUGAUCCAGCCAUGCCGCGUGCGGGAAGAAGGCCUUCGGGUUGUAAACCGCUUUUGUUCGGGAAGAAAUCCUCUGGGCUAAUACCCCGGGGGGAUGACGGUACCGGAAGAAUAAGCACCGGCUAACUACGUG
rnacentral:rRNA from 1 species